AGACGUCUACAUUAGAUACCCCCGUAGUCCCGGCCGUAAACUAUGCUCGCUAGGUGUCAGGCAUGGCGCGACCGUGUCUGGUGCCGCAGGGAAGCCGUGAAGCGAGCCACCUGGGAAGUACGGCCGCAAGGCUGAAACUUAAAGGAAUUGGCGGGGGAGCACAACAACGGGUGGAGCCUGCGGUUUAAUUGGACUCAACGCCGGACAACUCACCGGGAACGACAGCAAUAUGUAGGCCAGGCUGAAGACCUUGCCUGAAUCGCUG
rnacentral:rRNA from 1 species